rnacentral:lncRNA from 1 species
AUAUUACACUCAUAUGCACUCAUGUUUAGCGAAUGGUCCUACGACACGAUCAGUGAACAAAACUUAAUUGGAUCGACACGUAAAGAUACGAUCAUUGUCAUUGGUCGCUUCAAACCUGAUUCGACCUUCAAGCGCUGAAGCUCCGCCCAGACACACAUGCUAACAACUCACAUGAUAAACAUAGCAAGAGUUUUGUGAAUGAAUCAAUGGGUGAAAUGUGUAUUUGUUUACACAUAUCAUCGGGAGUUUCCCUUGCAUUUCUAGUGUUGAUGUGUAAAUUUUAUAAAUGUAUAAGUAUAAGUAUUAUUCAAGUCUUUUGUUUUACGUUUGAUCAAUGUAGAUAUCUUUUCACGGCGUCACAGAGAUAUAAAGUCAAUUAGAUCCCAUGCACAUGCAGAGGCGGAUCCAGCCUCAAAAGGUGCGAGUUUUUUUUUUUGUAUUUAAUUUUGUUUUUUUGAAGGGGGGGGGGUCUUACAAUAGGAAAAAUGGGUGUUCCAACCAGUCCAUACGUCUCCAUUUAAAAACAUUGAUCGUCAAUGUAUUCGCCACUGACAUGUUAUUUCUGUUUUUAAAUGUUUAAAAAGGAAGAAGAUUACGUCAAUAAUUAAUAAACGACAAAAAUAUCCAAAAAACUGUUCAAGGUACACAUUCAAUUAGAAAGGAAAGCCUUAAAUAACUAACUAAACCAUACGCUCCACUAUAUGGUCAAUCAACGGAAGGAAUGGAUGUCAUAUUCCUG